rnacentral:rRNA from 1 species
UACGAAGGGGGCUAGCGUUGCUCGGAAUCACUGGGCGUAAAGGGCGCGUAGGCGGCCGAUUAAGUCGGGGGUGAAAGCCUGUGGCUCAACCACAGAAUUGCCUCGAUACUGGUUGGCUUGAGACCGGAAGAGGACAGCGGAACGUGCGAGUGUAGAGGUGAAAUUCGAUAGAUAUUCGCAAGAACACCAGUGGCGAAGGCGGCUGUCUGGUCCGGUUCUGACGCUGAGGCGCGAAAGCGUGGGGAGCAAACAGG